rnacentral:rRNA from 1 species
GCUAAAAACCCAGACUUCGGGAUGGGUGUAUUUAUUAGAUAAAAAACCAACGCCCUUCGGGGCUCCUUGGUGAUUCAUAAUAACUUCACGAAUCGCAUGGCCUUGCGCCGGCGAUGGUUCAUUCAAAUUUCUGCCCUAUCAACUUUCGAUGGUAGGAUAGUGGCCUACCAUGGUGGCGACGGGUAACGGGGAAUUAGGGUUCUAUUCCGGAGAGGGAGCCUGAGAAACGGCUACCACAUCCAAGGAAGGCAGCAGGCGCGCAAAUUACCCAAUCCCAAUACGGGGAGGUAGUGACAAUAAAUACUGAUACAGGGCUCUUUUGGGUCUUGUAAUUGGAAUGAGAACAAUGUAAAUACCUUAUCGAGGAACAAUUGGAGGGCAAGUCUGGUGGACACACGUCCCAGCACUCGUUGCUGACGCCAGGGAGAUGCGGGCCGCCCUCGGGCGGUCCGUCUAGUGGGCCUCUGGGCCCGCGAGGUGUCCGGCACGGGGAAGGCAUGCGCGCAUGCCAACCCCGUGGCAGGUCCCUUCGGGGGCUUGUCGUAACGCACGGAAGGGCACCGGUGGCCUCCCCCUCGGGGGCAGGCCGCUGAAGGGUCGCGCUAAUCCCGCCCGCCAGGGCAGACGGGCCUGGAGCUCCCAGGCCCGCCGCAGGGUAACCAUUGGCCAGCAGCCGCGGUAAUUCCAGCUCCAAUAGCGUAUAUUAAAGUUGUUGCAGUUAAAAAGCUCGUAGUUGAACCUUGGGCCUGGCUGGCCGGUCCGCCUCACCGCGUGCACUGGUCCGGCCGGGCCUUUCCUUCUGGGAAGCCGCAUGCCCUUCACUGGGUGUGUCGGGGAACCAGGACUUUUGACUUUGAAAAAAUUAGAGUGUUCAAAGCAGGCCUAUGCUCGAAUACAU